rnacentral:rRNA from 1 species
UGGUGGAGUGAUUUGUCUGGUUAAUUCCGUUAACGAACGAGACCUCGACCUGCUAAAUAGUUCGGUGAAGGCUUCGGCUUUCGUGCGUGACUUCUUAGAGGGACUAUCGGUGUGUAGCCGGUGGAAGUUCGAGGCAAUAACA